GCUGGGCGUGGUGGCGCGCGCCUGUAGUCCCAGCUCCUCCGGAGGCUGAGGCAGGAGGAUCGCUUGAGCCCAGGAGUUCUGGUAUCUGCACUAUGCCGAUCAGGUGUCCGCACUAAGUCCGGCAUCAAUAUGGUGACCUCCCGGGAGCGGGGGACCACCAGGUUGCCUAAGAAGGGGUGAACCGGCCCAGGUCGGAAACGGAGCAGGUUAAAGUAUUGCUUGAUGCUAGCUCUAAGUGCCUCCAAAUGGAUCCUUAAGGAGGUUCAAUCAUGUAGGAUAGAAACAUUUUAU
rnacentral:SRP_RNA from 1 species